GGCCUCGUAGCUCAGUUGGUUAGAGCGUUGUUUGCACUAAAGCCUCCCCCUUGCUGUCGUGGAUUCGAAUCCCACCGAGGGCG
rnacentral:tRNA from 1 species